UUUUUUUUCUCACUUUCCUUAUUUAUUUAUUUUUUAUUUUUGUGAAUUUAAUAUAUACAUGUAGUUGCGCUGUAUUUGGAUGAUUUAUGUUGUAUUCAGUUGUACUGGUGUCCUCUUCAACGUUUACUUUUGUCUCGAAAUCUUCCGGUCUAGCUCUCCAUACAAACCCCCUAAUCUUUGGUUCUUUGGUUCUUUGAUUUUAUAAUUUUUUGUAUUUUAGUUGCGUUUAAUUUGUUGAGAUCUUUUGAAUUCGGUUGCUUUAGUAAUUAGGGAUUUGGUUCCUUGAGUGUCCUUUGGAGUAGCAGAUUGAAUCGAUUUCUGGAGCUUUAUAUUUUUCCCACACACUGUCACUGUGCUUAUUUGUGUGUCGGCGAGCUCAGUUUUGGUGAUGGUUGGUGCCCAACAGUGUUGCAAGAAAAAAAUGAGUGGAAAAAGAUGGAAUUGGAUUCUGUGUUUGUCUAAUUUUUGAAGCAGUGCUGAAAUCCAGAGGUUUAUUUGACUGUAUAUAUUUGAUUCGAGUACGGCUUUUGCCAUGGUUCUGUAUUCAGUGUGUAUCCCAGCUGGAAAAAAAAAAAAAAAAAGAGAUGUGGUUCUGACAUGGAGGAGAAGCUGCAAGAGUUUAUGAUCUUGCUGCACUUGAGUACGAAUGUUCUUCAACUCGUAUAAACUUUCCGGUAGGGUUCAAACCGUUAAGAGUUUUAUGAUUUUGUAAAAGCAGUUUAGUAGCAGAAGCUUGGUCUUUUUGCAGUUGCGUUAUUACACUAUACGACUUGAGUUAGUAUGGGUUUCUUGCUAACUGAACUGAUGAUUUAGGAAUUCUAAAAGUAGUUGCAUUUUACAAUAUACAACUUAAGUUAGUAUCAGUUUCUUAAUGAGUGGCAUGUGAAUGUCGAAUUUUUUUCUUAAUUUAAUUUCGGAAAGAAAUGCGUUUAAAAGUGAUGCUAUGUGAUGAAGUUAGCAUUCUGUUUUUUAUUAUAUACUGGUGGUGGACAUUUUUAGCAUAUUUGUUGAGAAAGAUUUAUCAUUUUCUAUAAAAUAAAGCUUCAUUCUCACCA